rnacentral:rRNA from 1 species
AGAGGGUGCGAACGUUGCUCGGAUUUACUGGGCGUAAAGCGCGUGUAGGCGGACUCGCAAGUCGGUUGUGAAAUCCCUGGGCUCAACCUAGGAACUGCAUCCGAAACUGCUUGUCUUGAGUAAUGGAGAGGGUGGCGGAAUUCCCGGUGUAGAGGUGAAAUUCGUAGAUAUCGGGAGGAACAUCAGUGGCGAAGGCGGCCACCUGGACAUUUACUGACGCUGAGACGCGAAAGCGUGGGGGAGCAAACAGGAUUAGAUACCCUGGUAGUCCACGCCGUAAACGAUGAGCACUAGGUGCAGCGGAUAUUGACGUCUGCUGUGCCGCAGCUAACGCGUUAAGUGCUCCGCCUGGGGAGUACGGCCGCAAGGCUA